rnacentral:rRNA from 1 species
UACGUAGGGGGCAAGCGUUGUCCGGAAUCAUUGGGCGUAAAGAGCGUGUAGGCGGCCAGGUAGGUCCGUUGUGAAAGUCCAGGGCUCAACCCUGGGAUGCCGGUGGAUACUGUCGGGCUCGAGUCCGGAAGAGGAGUGUGGAAUUCCUGGUGUAGCGGUGAAAUGCGCAGAUAUCAGGAGGAACACCAAUGGCGAAGGCAGCACUCUGGGACGUGACUGACGCUGAGACGCGAAAGCGUGGGGAGCAAACAGG